UCUUCAGCACCAGGCACAUUUCAAAGCGCUAAGGCCGCCCAGGUAAGUACCCUUCCCUUUACCCGCGACCUGAACCGACCCCGUUUCCCCUUCACCUCCUGACCCAUUUUCCCACCUAUAAUAAAACACCCCACCAUAUAAAACCCAACCGAACCUACCACACCACUCUAACUAAAAUCACACCCCACGUAAUAAAAAACCCAAAUCCCUCCCUGCCUAGAUCUCUCUCUCUCUCCCCGGUUUUCCCUCAUACCCAUCUCUCUCUCGCUCGUCUCUCUAGUGCUGCACAGAGAAGUUACUUCUUCUCUUUUCUUUUCAUUUUCUUGGUAUUCACUUGGUGACACCUCCCUACUCCCCCUGCCCACUAUCGAUUUCCCAUAUCCCAAACCCCCAAGACUUGAUGUUGAUAUAUGAUUUGUUUGUGACUUUUGUGCAACAAUUGCCAUGCAAUGGUUGAGUUGGUAAUUGACUAAGCGAUGGAAAACUAUCAGUCCCACCACCUUGUUUACUUGGGAGGGUACAACAUGAGCCACAUUGUGUGAAAACCUUGAGUGUCAGUGUUGCGCACCAAAUGUUCGACAAAAUUCUUGAAGUCUUUGAUUGCCGGUGAAUUCUGAGUAACCGAGCAUUAUUUGUUGGUGCUAUGGUAUGAGUGUGGGGUAUUAGGGAGUGAUGUUGUGCACGAAGGUCAUAUGUGUGUGCCUAUCUGAUUUGCACCAGUAAUGUUUCGGUACUAAUGACUCGUGAAGGUUUGAAAAAGGCAAAGGCAACUGCAAAGCCUUCUACUACUGCCCCAUCCACAAAGAAGCGCAAACACAGUGAGGUUGCUUCAAGCAAAUCAGGGAAAGGCAAUCAAGUGGCUGAUCCUUCUACCAGGCAGCCACGUGUGCCUCGUCCAGCCCUACAGGUAGAUAGAAAUGAUGCAAAAAGAUGGUACCACUCCUUUGUACCAUACGAGCGGUAUAUCUCGGAGAUGGGCAUCAAUACCACAACUUUGGAGCAGCAUUUUCCUACUAUUCUGGACCGGAUAAAGGAGUUGAAGCUGCACCAUUUUUUAGAAAGUCCCGGGCCAGCUAAUUUGAGCAUGGUGAAAGAAUUAUAUGCUAAUUGGAAUUUUCAGAAGAAUGAAUCCUAUGUGCGAGGUGUGUGGAUCAACUUGCAAGCUCAAGCGCUAUGUGAUUUUUUGGGGGCUCUAAACCAUGAUCCGCGAAUUUUUUAAAAGUUCGUGCGCAGUCCAGAUUACCCAGCGAUCCGUUAGACAUUAUGUGGGGUGAACUCGAUGGCGAAGUCGAUUCGUUCACAAUGAAAUGACACCCACAAGGAGAUGAGCCAGACUGGAUUCAACAAAACAACUAAGGUUGGCAGAACUUUGUUCUUGCUUGUAUUAUGUUGGGUGAGCAUACUUCAGGUUGCACAAGAGCGAGGGUUCGUUUGAUCUAUUUUCUGAUGAUGGAGAAACCUAUCAAUAUUGGUUAGUUAAUGCCCAUUGAGAUGACUCGCACCAGAUUCCAGAAUGACUGCAGGAGGUUCUUUUAUGGGAACCUAUUAACACAGAGGUUGCCGCAGGGGGGGGUGCCGGUUUAUGAGGAAGCUGAUGAGAUUGUGCUUGCACCGGCCGAGUUUCUAGAUAUAUUGGCGAUACCACCAAAGAAUGGUCCAAAGUUGAGCAUUGUUUCCAGACAAGAACGGGAUGUCAAUUUGCAAAGUCACAUGUAUGGUAUGAUGAGUCUGCUUUUGCAAAAGGUGGGGGUGACAGAGUCAGAUAAGCAGAAACUGAACCAGGAUUGUCUAUUAUUGGGGUCGACCAAUAAGCUAUUGGGAUUAUCAUCGGGUAGCCCGCUCCACUCUUUUGAUGAUCGGAACACUACUCCACCAUCUCCUGGUAGGGCAAGGCUGUGAGAAGGUUGAUAAGCUAUUAGCCAUUGCGAGAGAUGCUGCGGACAACACCACAGGUGGUUCGAGGUCUUGUGGAUCGGGGCAGGCUCGAAGAUUGGUAGAUGAGGAGUUCGAUGGAGAGGGAUCAGAGUACGACCCGAGUGCAUCCGCUUAGCCAGGGAGUUCCUUCUUUCCACCCUCAUACUUGAUAUCUUUUUUAUGUGCAGUGUCAGCACUUUUUAAGUGUAGGGUAGGAAAUUUCCUUGGAUGAGUAGUAGUAGUAUGUUAGUACUAGUAGUAAUGUAACUUCUUAUUUUAGAUUCUAGCUUCUUAAUUUUAUUUGCUUAGUUAAUAGAAUUAGUAAUGUAGUACAAUAGAAUUAGUUUUAGUAGUUUAAUUCGAAAAAAAUAGAAAAAAUAUAUCUCAAAAUUAAAAAAAAUGCAGAAAAAGUAAACUUUUUCCGAUGAUGGAUCUAUUGAAUAGCUUUCUUGAGGGAUUAAGGUCCAAUAAAAAUAUUCUAAAAAUAUUUUUAUUUUUAUUUUUAGUUAGUCAUAGGUAGAUAAUAAGCCCCUUUGGUUUUUCUUUAGGUAUCAGUUCUUUUCCAAGGGAUGUAACUUGAACCGGAUAUAUUUUUUUUUUUUUAUUGUUAGAAAAUCGAGGGAAGAAAACUUGAGUGUGCUAUAUGCCUUUUGACCUGUUUGAUGCUAGCAUAGUUAGGCCUUAGCAUGAGAAUUACUUUCCCAACGUGUUUUAGUGAAAAUUGAUGUCGUAAAAGAUUGAAUAGCUUGUCUAUGAUGCUUUCUCUCAAUCACUUGAUUCAUUGUUCAUUGCUUUAUUGCUUAAUGCUUCUCGAAUUUGUGAUUACUUGCCUAAACUUGAGAGUUGGAAUGGAACCGUCCCGACUGGGUUCAUGUGCAUUGUCUGAUGUGAAGUUCUGAUUACAUUCUGUGCUAUCUUGUGUUUGUCUAGAACUUGCCCUGUGUGUUAGUCGAAGCAAAAUAAGUAAGCUUUGUGAGUCUAGGAGAUGAUGCAAGCAUUUAUUUGAUUGUCCAUUGAGCUAUUAUGCCACCAUAAAUAAAAUUAUCAUUAUAUGGCUCAUUUGAGCCUAUAAGUUUUUUCUUUGGUACCUACAUUAUAAGCCGACUCCCAUUUUAUUCUUAAUUUAAUAUUUUCGAACAUUUACCUCCAAAAAUACUUAAGUCGCUAUAAGAGUAAGGUGAGAGUAGUAGCUUUUAAGUGGAACCAUAAAAAAGCUAAAAUGGUGCAUGUAUGUUUGAAAGAUCAUUAGCGGGGCAACCUAAAUAUGAAAAGUGUUAAAAAAAAAGAGGAAAAAAAUUAAAGAAAAUACAAAAAGAGAAGAGAAAUGGAAAACAAAAAAUACAGCGCCUAUUCUUUUUAAUUCAGAUUAGUAAGUGUAUAGAUGUGCUUAAAGAAAAAUACCAAAUUGUAUAUGGUUUCGUGACAUUGCUUGAAUUAGUCAUGAAGAGUGUGUAUUUGAAAGUUAAGUGUAGUUUAUUAAAGUGUGUAGGAGGGUUAGUCACUAUACUCAAAAUAUAGCCUACACGUUCCUUAGCCUACAUUACAACCCGUAAAGACCUAAUCUAUCUUAGACUGUGCAAGCUUAGAUUGAUGGAGAUAUACACUACGGGCAAGCCUAUGGUACAACCACAAAAUGCACAUGAAUUUCUUUGUGAGAGUGAGUGGUUCUUUGUUCAUAUAUAUGAUGUCCUUAAAUUAUAUUCGAAUGCAUAAUUGAAUGUGUGGACGAAAUACCCUCUUAUCCUUUAGUGAGACACAUGAUUCCAUGACGGAUAGGUGACGUUAUUAAACAUUUCUUGAUGAGUGGGUGCACGAGUUGAGAGUUCUUAUUGGCGACGAAUCGGUCUUUGAGGUUGGGUGGUUAUGGGAAGCUUAUUUGAGCAUUUUAAAUUUGUCACUAAUAUUCAGGCAUGAGAAAGUUGAGAAAGGUAUAAAUGCGUAUGUAAGGGCUUAAUUGUUGGUAUAAACCAGAGUCAUAGGUUUAGUGUGUCGAAUUGCCAAAUGUUUGAUGGUAGGCUAGAAAUACGAUUUUUUGGCCAUUUUGCAAUUAUUAUUUGCUAUACUUUAAUUAUAUUUGAGCUGAAAAAUGGGUAAUUUAUAUUCAUUACGUAUUUUUGUUGUGUAGGUUGAGAAUCCGGGCUAAGACAAGUUUUUGGAGCUAAAAAGGAAUAAAAGAGAACUUUGAAGCCUGAGUAAAAGAUCGAGAGUUAAUCCGUAAUCGAGCUCGGGGUUAAGGACCGGGUACACAUAAGAAAUAGAAAAAAAAUAUGAAGCUUAAAACUUCUAUCCCUCUGAAAAGUGGGACUAAUACGUCACAUGUUAUGCCUUGGCAAACGAGAGAAUAAGCCAUUUUAGCUUCCGGAGAGAAUAAACAAGGCAACAGGAACAUUUGGUCUAACAUCUGAAUCUUUUCAUUGUCACGUCGUGUGCCGCGACGUGAGCCGCGUCCACGUCGCGACAUGCUAAUUUCGGUUUUGUUAAAUUCUAUUUCGCCUCAGUAAGAGUAUUUCGGUCAAAGAGUAUUUUGUACACGGUAUAAAUAUUUUCUAAAUACAAUUUUAAAGGGGGAUUCGACAUAGGAGAGUUUUGGGGGAGGCAACUAAGGCAAUAAGCCACAAGAAUUCAUUAAGAUUUCAACCAAUGAUCGGUACAAUACGGGAAUUUGUAUUGAAUCAUUAGCAUUGAUGUUUUCUAUAUUUUUAAACCUUAUUGAGAUGACUUUUUCCAUUUAUAUGGAGUAAUUUCCAUUAGGGAGUUGACAAAUACGGUGUUUUGAUAACUUGAUUAGGGAUUGGAUUCUUGAUAAUUGUGAGAAUUAAUUGAUGGAGUUUUAAUUCGUAUUGUGAAGUUAUUUUUUAUUUUGCUUAAUCAAAAGAGGAGCUUAAUAUUGAAUUUCUUUACAUCUUAUGCUAUAGUUUAAAUUCGUGAUUCAAAUAGGUAAUCGAAAAAGUUUCUUGAAUUGUUAAUCAAACUAGAAAAUAGGGAAAUAUUCACGAGAAGUUACUCUUUAAACCAUAACCAUCAUUUUAUUCGUUGCAAUUAUUUAUCGUACUUCAAUUGGACUCUGAUUAUUAUUGACGAUGGAGUACAACCAGCAUAAGAAAACAGUUGAAGAGUUAGCAGCUGAAUAUUAUCACAAGUCUGCUAUUUGUUUUAAAUGCAGUGGAAAUCAUCUAUGGGUUGACAUUCAAGAAGGAAGAUGCAUGGAGUGAUCAUGUGAAAGACUGCAGGAACAAAUUGAGGAUCAUCCUACAAGAAUAAUUCAAUGCUCAAAAUGAGGUCAAGUAAGAAAGAAAAGAGCGGGUCUUACAGAUAUCCUUAGAACACUUUGUCCUAGUGAGCUCCAUGAAGAAUCCCAAAGAGCAGAAACAUGGAAUGAAUUCAAAAUUAGGGGUUGAGUUCAUAAGUUCUCGAAAACAAGAAAAAUUCAGGGGAGUUUUCUUUAUCUCUUAAUUUUAAUUUGUUUGUCAUAGGGACAUGCCACAAUUUAAAGUGUGGGGUGGAAAAUGUAAAUAUGUAUUU